rnacentral:rRNA from 1 species
UACGAACUGUGCGAACGUUAUUCGGAAUCACUGGGCUUACAGGGUGCGUAGGCGGUUAUCCAAGUCAGGUGUGAAAUCCCCCAGCUCAACUGGGGAACUGCGCUUGAAACUGGAUGACUGGAGGAUGCUAGAGGUAGACGGAACUUCCGGUGGAGCGGUGAAAUGUGUUGAGAUCGGAAGGAACACCAGAGGCGAAGGCGGUCUACUGGGGCAUAUCUGACGCUGAGGCACGAAAGCCAGGGGAGCAAACGGG